CGCGGUCAUACGUAGGAUCCGAGCGUUAUCCGGAGUGACUGGGCGUAAAGAGUUGCGUAGGUGGUUCAAUAAGCGAAUAGUGAAAGCUGGUGGCUCAACCAUUCAGAUUAUUAUUCGAACUGUUGAACUCGAGAGCAGAAGAGGUAGCUGGAAUUUCUAGUGUAGGAGUGAAAUCCGUAGAUAUUAGAAGGAACACCGAUGGCGAAGGCAGGUCUCUGGGCUGUAACUGACGCUGAGAAGCGAAAGCAUGGGGAGCGAACAGGAUUAGAUACCCUGGUAGUCCAUGCCGUAAACGUUGGGCACUAGGUGUGGGGGACAUUCCACGUUUUCCGCGCCGUAGCUAACGCAUUAAGUGCCCCGCCUGGGGAGUACGGCCGCAAGGCUAAAACUCAAAGAAAUUGACGGGGGCCCGCACAAGCGGCGGAGCAUGCGGAUUAAUUCGAUGCAACGCGAAGAACCUUACCAAGGCUUG
rnacentral:rRNA from 1 species